AUUCAUAGAGCGCUGAGUUCCCGGGAAGAGUCCGGGAAGCGGGGGAACCACUUACUGGGGUGAAUCCCGGCAUACCGCCGGAUAGGGUUAUCUUUCGACCCGAACCCGUCAGCUAACCUCGCAAGCGUGGGAAGAUGGCCGG
rfam:Candidatus Desulforudis audaxviator MP104C, complete genome.